GUAGCAAAAUGCGAUACUUGGUGUGAAUUGCAGAAUCCCGUGAAUCAUCGAGUCUUUGAACGCAAGUUGCGCCCAACGCCAUUCGGCCGAGGGCACGUCUGCCUGGGUGUCAC
rnacentral:rRNA from 1 species